rnacentral:piRNA from 1 species
UGGCCAUGUCACUAGCCAAAUGGACAUAAC